GAGAGAAAGAGGGAGGGAGGGAGGGAAAGGGGAAACGGAUGAGAUGGCUACGGCUAGAAUGUUUGACCAGGUCUGCAGGAUCAGAACUGACCAGGGGCUAAACAAUCACAACCAGAAAGAUAUUAAAAAAAUAAACAAGUGCAACGGACAUACGAGGACAGAAACUGUCAUUUUGUUAUUUUAAUUGAAUUAACGGAAUUUAUAUAUAUACAUAUACGUCUGCUAGUCUAUAAAGAAGAACUGAAGAAAUUCUUGGAUGUUUAAUGACAGAGAAUGAGAGAAAAAGAAAGAGAAUUGCCGUGAUAAAUGUGGACAACUACGUAAAAAUAAUUGGAUAUGCUGAUGUGCGCUACAAUUGGCUAUGACAAAAAUAACUUACAAACUGUAGAAAGCCAUCAAGGAACCAAAACUUACCUAGAAACAAAAAACAAAACAAAAAAACAUUACAACAUAUAGAAAAUUAUUAACAACAAUAAGAGGAAGAAAAAAUUUUUUUUUUUUUUUUUUAAAUUCAAGAAAACAUGAGAAAAGGCCAACCACAGAGAAAAAGUAAACGAUUGAUAACGACACUAAAAGGAGAUAACUCCAUUAAAUAGUAACAUGGGAAAUGGAAGUUAUCUCCCUUACUCCACAAAUUCAGAGGCUACUGCCGAACAGAGCACGAAACGGAAUUCAUCACCGAAGCUCUACACAAUGAGAAGAAUGGUCAGCGCAGCAAUAUAAGAAUUAUGGUUAGCAAAGUAUUCCAGGUUUUAAAUUAUUAGAUAUUCAAAGUAAUAAAGAAUGGAAGUAUGUACAGAAUUCUUGGAGACAUAAAAUAUAUGCCCUCGAAUUCAUGAUGGAAAAGGAGCAAGUUCUAAAGGGAAACACCAGAAAUCUCGCGUAACAUCGACCAAUCUUUUGGUCAGGAGACCAUCAACGCACAUUUAGGUUCAAGAAUUUCAUAGCGGAGAUGAAAGCUUUGACAAAGAGUAAUGUACCAGACGACCUUCCGAAAAUGACAAUAACCAGUGGAAGGCCGAUAUUGAAACAAACCCGCGCAUAAGUGGUCAAGAAUUUACAAGAGAAUUUAACCAGGCCCAGCAAACUUUUGGAGAAGUGGGCCGCAUGUGACAUUGCUCAUCAUCAUGUAGGCCCUACUACUAAAAAUUUCAAGGUAAUUUUUCAUUGGCAUGACAUUCAGAAAGUCCCGCGGGCCGCAGUUUGCCAAUGACUGAACUAAACGUUGAUAUUAUACAUGUGUUCGAUAUUUAUAUUUUAAUGGAAAAUCAUAAAAUCUCAAUAAAUGUGCCAUAGUAGUUGGGCUAAUAUAAAUUUAUAAAUAAAUAUAUGGAAACUCGUUAUAAAA